CCUCUUCUUCAUUCACAGCCACAGAAGACGACCUCUGAAGAUUCAACCAGAUCUAGAGAGAGAAGAAAGCGUAGAGAGCGAGAGAGAGAGAGAGAGAGAGAGAGAGAGAGAGUCUUCCGUUUUAAGUUCUAACCAGGCUUCAAGUGGUACGUUAUUCACUGCUCUGAGAGAGAGAGAAACAGAGAGGAACAUUCAGGAGGAGAGAGAGAAUAUACAGAUUUAGAGAGAGAAGUGUUGAGCACAGAAACGAAGCACUGAGGUGAAAGAAGGGGUUUCUUUGGCUUGGACAAGAACUUUUCAGGAACAAUCGGUCUGAUCCUAGCCGUUGAAGCUUCUGAUUCGGACCGUUGGCAUUUCUAUCUACGAACGCCGGUCGACGGUCGGCUAAUUGUCGUUCUCUGUUUGUGAUUUUCUCAGAUCUCGCUGUCUGCCUCUCGUACUCUGUUUAAAGAACGACCUGAUCUAUCAGUCCUGUGCAUUUUGGUUCUAGCAAUAUGCCUCCUCAGUCCUCAGGUUUACUUGUUGGGACAAGACAACCUCUGUGAAAUGAGUGGAUUCGGAAAAAAAUAUAGGUUGCGGUGAAUAUUCGUUCAUUCUUUUUGUUCGGAUGACGUACAUUUACAAUCCAUUCAAGGUUACGAACACAAUGACGACCGCAACCCCUUCUCUCAGUAACUGCUGCGACUGUGAAGUUUCAAUCAGGUAAUGCAUAUACAAUUAUUUGUAUAGAUCUGUAUUGAAUGGAGAAAACAAUACAAAAUUUGCAUUGUGAUUUUGUUUCGGAAGACUUCAACUCUUCAAUUGUAAUUUUAGGUUUUUUUUGUACUCCGAGUCGAGCUAUUCCGCCCAGAUCUUUACUUUUAUCGGCGGCUCCUAAUUGUAUGUGUAUAACACACAAUAAUUCAUUUGGAUUUGGUUUCAUUUUUUAUAUUUCAUCUGAAAUUGUAUGUACCCAAAUAUGAAUUUAAUUUGGGAUGUGGUGUUCUGAUCUCAUGUGUAUCAGUUUCACCACUGUGUGCGCGUACGUUGAGACUCAAGGACCACCUCAUCGGUAAAGGUAAAGGUGAGAAUAGAGAGAUAAUAUGUGAUAAUGUGUUUAGAAGGGGAGAUGCAGUGCUGUAGUCGGUAUAAUCCUUAUGUAGAGUAAAAAGAAAUUAUUCUGUAGCAGUUUCCCACAAUUUUCUCUCUGGUUUUUUUUUUUUUGUUUUUUUUUGGGCAUCUAGCAGGUGUCUCCUCUAUUAUUGAGUUGUCAUCUCAAAAAAAAAUGAGACCGACUUUAGGUUGUUGGAGCUCAAUCUCAUUAAUAUGUAAGUAAAAGCUGUAAAAGCUAUAAUGAUACAGUUAUAAUUGUUAUAACAUGUACUAUUGUAACUGUUUUUUUAAUUAAGAGAAAAAAUACACACUUUGGCA